UGGGACUUUGUGUAAUGGUAGCACGUCAGAUUUUGAUUCUGUUAGUGAAAGUUCGAGUCUUUCAGUCCCAU
rnacentral:tRNA from 1 species